rnacentral:rRNA from 1 species
AACGUAGGUGACGAGCGUUAUCCGGAUUUACUGGGCGUAAAGCGCGUGCAGGCGGCUUCGCAAGUCGGGCAUGAAAUCUCACGGCCUAACCGAGAGACGCUGUCCGAUACUGCGAGGCUUGAGGGCGGUAAAAGGUGGCGGAAUUCCGCAUGUAGUGGUGAAAUGCGUAGAGAUGCGGAGGAACACCAGUGGCGAAGGCGGCCACCUAGGCCGUCCCUGACGCUGAAGCGCGAAAGCUAGGGUAGCGAACGGG